GUGCUUGCCUCUGCAGCACAUACACGGAAACUGGAAUGAUACAGGGGAGAUCAGCACGGCCCUCGUGCAAGGACAGGCAAAUUCGUGAAAAAGAAAAGUGAACACUCUGUU
rnacentral:snRNA from 1 species